rnacentral:tRNA from 1 species
UGUGUUAUAGUAUAUGAUGUACAAGAAAUUUUGAUUUUCUAAGGGAUGGUUUAAUUCCAUUUAAUGCAA